rnacentral:rRNA from 1 species
AUGAAAAGGCCCGAGCUUGGGGAUGCUAUGUUUGAUGAAGAUGAUAUUUUUAGUCUCCCAAGUUUUGAUAUGCAAAUUUAUAAUGAUGAUAGCAUGCCUCCUACUUAUGAUGAUUAUUGUGAUGAUACUUAUGCUAUAAAAAGUAGUGAUUAUAUUUAUAAAACUUGUCAUGAUUAUGAUUACCCCUUUUCUGAACAUUACUCUUUUAAUGUGGAAACAAUUUAUAGUAUUCGAGUCUCUUAUGAUACUCCCACUAUUCCGAUUGAGAAGAAUUUUGCUUAUAUGGAGAGUAGUAAAUUUUCUAUGCUUGUAGAUCAUGAAAAGAAUGCUUUAGGUGCUGGUUAUAUUGUUGAAUUCAUUCAUGACGCUACUGUAAAUUAUUAUGAGGGAGGAAUAUAUGCAUGUAGGAAUUGCAAUAAUAUCAAGUUUCCUCUCUAUGUGCUUAAAAUCUUGAAGUUAUGCUUGUUUUACCUUCCUAUGCAAGUUGAUUCUUGUUCCCAUAAGUUGUUUGCUCACAAAAUCCAUAUACAUAGGAAGUGGGUUAGGCUUAAAUUUGCUAGUCAUAUUCUUCAUGAUGCUCUCUAUAUGUUUCAAUUCUUAUCUUUUAUGUGA